rnacentral:lncRNA from 1 species
UUGGAGUUUGAAGGGUUGGGGUUUACAGAGGGGGUUUUGGCGAUAUGGCUCACCAGGACUGAGGGCCCUGAGUUGUGUUGCACAAUAAGUCAGUGCCUCAGUGCUCUCAGUCAAAACAACUGGUGUCAGGCUUACAUGGUUUACAUGCCUAUUCUAGGGGCACGGCUGCCAGCGCAGCAAAGGGGAGGACAGACAGUUAGGAGGGGAGGUUGAGGCCGGUUCAACCCAGUGCUCAGAGAUGAAUGUGUACUCUUACAGCUGUUUGACCUCAAGAGCUGUGGGCUGACCUGGUCACAGUUUAGGUCAGAAAGCAGAGCUGGAAUAACGUACUGGGAGAGAGUUUGUACGGUAUUCCAUCAUGUCACACUGACGUCUCAUUUCAGCAGGCGUCAGGUCGAGGAAACGAAGGAUAAUAGUUUGAUGACUGAAACUGUUGCAGCGUAAAUCCAUUAAUUCAAUUCAUGUGAACACCAAAACCACCACUUUAGUCCAGACCUCAGAUUUUGAGCGAAUUAUUGUUGUGCAGAGUCGCAUGAAAUGGAAAUAACGCACUCAUUUGCAUUUAUAUUUAUAGUUUUGUCAUUUAUUUCUACAUUAGUCUCUGCUAAAGUAACAGCAACUCAUCAGGGGUCCAUACUUGUAAAAAUGAAAUUAAAAUGUUUGGACAGAAAUGAUGUUAAAAAUGAACCGACCGUUAUAACAACAGCAACAGUAUUAAAAUGAACAACAGAUAACAGGCUGAAUAAAAUAACUUAAAGCACCUGUGAAGAAUUUUUAGAAGGUGUGAAGGUACAGGGAGGAAGAAGGGCUCCAACCAUCAGGUGCUUUUUUUAGUAGUUUUUUGUGACGCUGACUUUGCUUUUGUUUGCGUGUCUCCUUUUAUGUGGUUGUAAUAUUGUUUGUAAAGUUACAGGAAAAAAACCUGAAGUGGACGGACCAUCUUUAGUUAUUGUUUAUUUCUGUUUGGAGUGAGCGGGUAAAAUACGCCUUGUCUUCUACCUGCUCUCUUCCAGUCAUGUGCUGUGCUACAGUUGUUAAAUGCCUUUUGUAUUUAUGAAAAUGCUCAAUAAUGGCCAUGAGUGGAACAAAUAAAAAUGAAACGAAACGAAAAAGACUUGAUGUAAAAUGGUGUAAGAUGGAGCCCCACCUUGUCAGAUCAGACUCACUCCAAUUGCAUCUUCAUCUUUAUGAGUGUAGCACGAGUGCUGAGAGGAAAAACUUCCUUAAACAGGCAGAAACCUCAAGCAGAACCAGACUCAUGUCAGGACAGUCAUCUGCCUCGACUGCAAAGGAUCUAGAGGGAGAUGCAGAAAGAGAGAUGGACAGGUGAGAUUGAUGCUGGUAGUUGAAGCAGCAGGAAAACAGGAAGCUACAACAUGAUGGAGCUCAGGGACUCCCACAAAAAAUGGGAAUUUAAGAUGGAAAUAUAACAGAUAUGCAAUAACCAUAGAUGGUGUCAUAUAUACAUAGAAAAAAGUCUUCUUCAUUGACAGGAGAGAGGCAGAGACACGAGGAGCACACUGACACAGAUUUGUCACAACUGUUUAUAUAAAAAUGUUCCAUGUGCCACGAAAGAAACAGACAAAAAUCUGCUUUCAGUUUUGAUUCACGUCACAUCCAAAUGGAGCCCACGGCAGGAAAAUCUUAACUUAGCCCCAAUCAUUCCACUCACACUUCAAAGCCAUGGUUUUAGCAAACACAGCAGUGGGAGCACAUGUUUCAUGAUGACUUUGCAUGCAUUUCUGUGUAACCAAAGCUGCUUCUACUUUAGCUGUGUCCUUGUUCUUUAACGAGCUUACUCCAUCUCUGCUGUUUUUUCGCAUGUUUUUAGAACUUUAAUUGAGUUUUAAUUGAGCUUAAAUGUAAAAUUAGCUCUCUAACAACAAAAUUACAGUUGACUGAUUUCAUUCAGUUGUCUAAGGUUGGUCGACUCGCUGCUGGACCACUUAUCUUAGCUCUUACAUCGGCACUGAGGCAGAGCUUUACCCCCUUUAUUCUCACAAGUUCACUGCCUCAUGCAACUACUGGGGAUUUUGUUAUAGGCUAACAAAUAAGUCUCCUUUUCCCUCUCUGAUGUCCUUUGAGCAUUUUAUUGCCAUUUGGCCAGCCGCUCUGGAACCACAGAGGGAGUGGAGCAUGAUGGAAACUCCAUAUAAAAAGAAAAUAAACCAAACUCACUUUAACAGCAACAUUGUGAGAGAGAGCGCAGCGCCGAGGAUGAGAGAUGCAAAGGGUAACAUGUGUGACACUGCUGGGGAGGUGGUGGACAUACAUUAUGAGUUUUUACGGUGGAAAAAACUCCUCAGCAUUUCAUUUUUCACCCUCUGUGAUAACACGAGCGUGAACUCCUCUCCACUCUCUCUCUCUCUCUCUCUCUUUCGGCGCGGCGCUUCCUCCUCUCUCCGUGUGUGGUCUGCUUGAUGAGCUGCAGUCUAGCUCGGAGUUAACAAAAGCUGGUGCUGCAGGUAGGGGUCAUCUCUUCUUUUGGCCUCUGCUGUGAAAGGAAAUAGUAAAAAGUCAUUCAAAGUUUUACAUUUGAAUAGCACACUUAAAAAGCACUUGAACAAAUGCAGUGACUGGGCCGACUCUACCCCGUAAAACAGACAAACUGAGGUGUUGUUUUGACUGAGUGUUGGGUUACUUACCCAUGCCUGGUUGGUAUACAUAAACUCUGAAUAAAUCUACUUGUUAGUCUUAAAUAUACUUGUCAGGAUAGAAUUUGCAUAAAGAAAAAUGCUUGUUUUUAUAUUUUUCAUAAAAAGCUCAUAUGGGAUUUUAAGGACUUGGCUGCAGAAUGAUCAAAAACAGGAAGGGUAAAGUAAUUGCUCAAGAAGAUGAAAAGAUGAUGAUCAAUUUAAGUUGCAAAGAUAAUUUUAUUAAAUUACGGAGCUACAGUGUUUGUAUUAUGUAAAUAUUUGUUUGACAUAUUACCGUAAAACUUAUUAUAUAAGUUGCAUUGAUAAUUUUGAGGCCUAUACUAACCCACUGUGACCAAUUUGCCAACUAUUGGUCUUUUCAGUCAAACAAGUGCGCCUCAAUAUCUAUUUACUUAUAGUAUACCAUCAUAUUCAGUGCCCCUUAUUAUGCAAAACUAAUAGCUUUAGUAUUUUCACAAUAAAUCAGAUUUACAGUUUAAAAACGCUCUCCUACCCCUAAAGUGUGAUUUAACCCUGGCAAUGUAAUCAUGUUAUUUUUUGACGUGAAGAUGUUUCUUUUAGUAUGGGUGUGUAUGUGGAUUCAUGGACUUUUGGAGUCAGCCUCAAGUGGACACUAGAGGAACUGCAGAUUUCAGCAUUUUCACUUUCUCAAGACUGGAGGAAAUAUCUGGACCUUUAACCUUAUUUUAUUGUUUUUUUAAACUAAAAUCAUCUGCUUUCGGAAGGUGUUGUGCAAAGUGAAACCAAAAUAAAGAGCUGAAAUUUAUUGUGUAGCUAAAGUAUCUACAGGUCCAUGUCUACAGAUUACUCCUUUCACAUUAGUGCAUUGUUGUUACAUUAAAUCCUGGGUAUUUCUUCCACAAAAACAUAAAUUAGUAUGGAUUUUUCUCUCAAUAUCUGGGUAGAAUUAGCCAAAUGUUACAUGGAUAUGUAUAAAAAAAUUAAAGAAGAACUACCGUGUCUGCAGUGCAAAAUGAUUAAUAUGGUGAUUAUUUCUUCAAGGAAAUGAUAAAGAAAUGAUCAUCAAUGUUCUUUCUUGAGCUGCGUCACCCCGCUGUAGUCCGUAAUGCACUGGCCAGAGGUCUCACUACAAACAAGCGGCUGCAGGAGGAGAGUAGGUGAGUUGUGUUUAGUCUCUUUGCUGAAGAAAUUAGUCAAAGUUAAAAAGAUGUUUGGUGGCUUGUGCUGUGGCUGGGACCCUAUAUGUACUGUUGAUGAAGUUAGGUGCUGUUCUGAGCAUUAUGUGUGGCUAUAGAGUGAUGUUUUGGUUGAGGUUUGUUUAUGGCUCCUCAGACUGCUGUGUAUUGCUAUCGUGCGUUCGUUACUAAAGUUGGUUUAACUAGAGAAGCAAGUGGUCUGCAACAUUCAUCUCUCGAGGGGGUGUCUAACUCGGUGUUAUGAUGCGUUUGACCUUAAAUAAUUUCAUGCUGGAAUAUCCCUUUGGGAACACAAAGUGCUUUACAAAGAGGUAAAAACAAACAACGUUAAAAAAAAAGAGGCUCAAAGCAGUAAAAGCCUUUGGGAGGCUCAAAGCAGUAAAAAUUUCACUCUGGUGAUUUAUGUCAGUUUCGAACACUGUCUGACUUGAUACUGGGCAUGUGUAUGAAAUAUUACAGCAGGGGUUUGACUGGCUCAUUUAGCUGUCAGCAUUACCAAUACUUAAGUUAUGGUAAAAUCAGUGCUGAGUGAGACGUAGAGCAGUGUAAAUGGUGACAGUGAGUGUGUGGAGGAUGACAGUGCUAGCGUGGUCACACAGUGAUCCUUAAAUCACAGGUCCAGAGAGUGAUGACUGUUUAGCCACUUCACAAUAACACUCAUUUCAGAAAGCUGCACGUGGAGCUGUUUGUGUGCGCAUAUGCGGCUCCAAAAGACAUUAGUAGCCAUGCAGUGUGUACAUGAUAAAUGUGCGUGUUUGCACGUCAGAAUAUCUGUCUGUGCGCAGAAUAAACGCCUGUAAAAAUCUUAAUUACAACGCAGAAACUCUUGGUCAAGCUCUGCAGUGAUUUACUAUAGGUGAUCUGGCCUGAGUGCUCACGAAUCACAGCCAAGGCCCAAACCACAUGACCACAAUAGUUGAGUGUAGUUUUCCACUCUGACUGGAGCUGUGAAAGCAGCCACGUUCACGUCCUGUGGUCACAAAUUCACAGCUGUGGACUGAAGAGAUUUCACUCUGACAAACCCCCAGUGUCAUAUCUGAUACUUUAAAAGCUCGAUCCUCUUAUUGGAUUAUGCAACUGGGAGUUUCGCUGCCCUUUAAGCAAACAUACAUGCGCACCAGAGGGAAGAGUUCAGCGCCACUAUGAAGAACUUUUAGAGGAAGAAGAGGGUGAACCUUUUAACCUUACAGUCGAGGGGGGAUCUUAUUUCCCAUCAGGGUAUCCUAAAACGAUGAAAAACAGCUGUUAGAGGGCAGAGUACCAACAAGAACUCUCACACUCUUUGGGAAAUAUAUUCAAGAUUGACUCCACUCAUGUUUUCUUUAUGCUAAGGCAGACAUUUAGCUUCAGCGUACUGUAGGACUGCAGAGCCAGGUCUGCCACAGAGAAUAACAACUCAGUUUCAGAGUGUCUUUGAGUUGUUUUGAUUCAUUUGAUUCAGCUUGACUGUGCAGAAUUUACUGGUCUGAGUGUUUUCUGUCGACAUGAUGUCGAAGCAAAUCUAGAGUUAGGAAGUCAGAACAGACAGCAACAACGUCAGUGUGCAGAGAUGUAAAGUAAUAUCAGAAUAUUACCCACAAGGGCUGACGAGCCUUACUCUACAAAAAUGUCCUAAAUAUUGCAACCCCAUUAACCCUUGGUUUCUGUUAAUUUUAAGCUCCAUCCAGCCUACUUUGUCUCCAAAACUGACAUGCAGGUAAGAGUUCAUAAAAUUCUCUUUUGUUAACUUUUUUUCGACUCAUAUCUCUUAAACAUCUUCAGUCCUGACCAUUAAAAAAUAAUUAAAAAAUUUGAUGUAUUACCCUUUUUAUGACAGUUUUUGUGCAACAUCUCACUGUUAAUUUUAACGGUAAAAAUAAACACAGAAUUGACAUAUUUCCCAUAUAAAAUGACCUAGAUGAAUUUUUUUAAUAAAUAGAGUGUGGUCCAUGUCAGUGAUGAGAAGUAAAACUGAUUUUGGUGCAUUUAAAUUCUUGUCUGAAUAUAAGGCAAGCACUAAAAUAACUUUCGUAGAUGUAGCCAUCUUGUUUCAGGCCUCCGAUUUCGCUUUUUUCCGACUUGGUAACUGAAACCCUGGGAACUCAGGUGU